rnacentral:tRNA from 1 species
UUAAUUGCCACAGGUAAGGUGACUGAGUAAUAAGUGGCGGAUUGUAAAUCCGUAAACAGGGGUUAAAUGC